rnacentral:rRNA from 1 species
GACGAACCUUGCAAACGUUAUUCGGAAUCACUGGGCUUAAAGGGUGCGUAGGCUGUGCAGCAAGUUGGGUGUGAAAUACCUCGGCUUAACCGAGGAAUUGCGCCCAAAACUACUGUGCUCGAGGAAGAUAGAGGUGAGCGGAACUUAGGGUGGAGCGGUGAAAUGCGUUGAUAUCCUAAGGAACACCGGUGGCGAAAGCGGCUCACUGGAUCUUAUCUGACGCUGAGGCACGAAAGCGUGGGGAGCAAACAGG